AAGCGAAACCGCCCUGGGCAACUGGGGCGGUCUGCCGGGCAUGGUUGCCCGGUACUGAUGAGCAGCCAAAC
rnacentral:hammerhead_ribozyme from 1 species